UUGGGAUCAUUCCAGUGAAGCGAUGAUGGACGGGGAAGGAAAAGCAACAAGUGUAGGCUAUCCCAAUAAGACUACAUGUGACCCUUUGAGGACACAUUUUCCACGUGUCAUUCAUCAAACGGACAGCCUGCAGACAAUCAGAAGAAGGAACAUGACAAGAAACAGGUCAUCUUCCAGCGGGCCUCCGGAACCAUACUGGCACAUGACACGAGAGGCCAGAGUUUCGCUAAACCCCCAGAAAGGACCGACAUAACUGAUGAAAUCCGGCCAGAAAAUGCAGAUAACGAACAACAACAAGAAAGUGUCUCACAACGUCGCGGAUUUAUUUGUAACAAAGUCGUCAUGCCAAACAUAUUGGGCCAGCGACCGCAAAAGACCAACUUGUACAGUGAAAUGGAAUACUGAACGAGAAAAAAAGGGGACGUUCAAACAAGGGGGAAAUGUACACCGUCCUCAAUCAAGACAGUACUAGCUCGUCAGUGUUUCUUCCUGCAAACUACCGGAGAUAACUGAAAGAAUCAACAAGUUUACUGUUACUGUAUUACUAACCCAGAUUUUCUUGGAUGACAGAAUUCAAGCAAACGCCACAAAGAGGAGCGCGGCUUCAAGCGCAGGAGCGACAAGAAAGCCCCGCUGGGAUUCAUUGCCUCAAAAAGAGCACAUAGGCUACUGCUUUACAAGUGACCAGCUAGAGCUUGAGAAGUUCCACUUCAGCAUGUUUGUGCAUGCGGAGACCUGGGGAAAUGGCCAGUUUACUCAAACUUACUGAGAAGAAAAUACAAAUCUGGUUUCAGAACCGGAGGUGAGACAAAAAAGACUGUAGGCUGAAAAUAAUGUCUCUCUUAGCUGGACCAUCUCUGAUCAACAACCCACCACCACCGUCUUAAGUGAAGCUUCAAGAGAUUUAUUUAUGCAUAACAUCUACAGUGCCUCAGGUGAAACGUCCUUCCGCAAAUAUGACAAGAGAAGUAGGCUAUAUCUAUAUUAUCCAGUAUACAUUAUUGGCAUUCUCUGUCUCUUCUGGACAAUUUACAUAAAACUAUUCUGUUAUGUUCCCUAGAGCGUAGCCAAUAAUAAAGUCCCCCUUUAAAUGAUUA